GAUUAACGCUGGCGGCGUGCCUAACACAUGCAAGUCGAGCGGCAGCGAGUUUUACACUGAAUUCUGGAAGCUUCUAGUUGCAAGAGAAGAUUUAUUCAAGAAUUUUGUGUAAAAUGUCGGCGAGCGGCGGACGGCUGAGUAACGCGUGGGAACGUACCCCAAAGUGAGGGAUAACGCAUCGAAAGGUGUGCUAAUACCGCAUAUGGUCUUCGGAUUAAAGCCUUCGGGCGCUUUGGGAACGGCCUGCGUAAGAUUAGAUAGUUGGUGGGGUAAUGGCCUACCAAGUCGACGAUCUUUAACUGGUUUGAGAGGAUGAUCAGUCAGACUGGAACUGAGACACGGUCCAGACUCCUACGGGAGGCAGCAGUGAGGAAUCUUCCACAAUGGGCGAAAGCCUGAUGGAGCAACGCCGUGUGCAGGAUGAAGGCCUUCGGGUUGUAAACUGCUUUUAUAAGUGAGGAUUAUGACAGUAACUGAUGAAUAAGGAUCGGCUAACUACGUG
rnacentral:rRNA from 1 species